rnacentral:rRNA from 1 species
UACAGAGGUCUCAAGCGUUGUUCGGAUUCAUUGGGCGUAAAGGGUGCGUAGGCGGCGCGGUAAGUCGGGUGUGAAAUCUCGGGGCUUAACUCCGAAACUGCAUUCGAUACUACCGUGCUUGAGGACUGGAGAGGAGACUGGAAUUUACGGUGUAGCGGUGAAAUGCGUAGAUAUCGUAAGGAAGACCAGUGGCGAAGGCGGGUCUCUGGACAGUUCCUGA